ACAGCUCCUGGAGAACAGAACAUUCUUCAGGGGAGGGCUGUUGGGUUUGCAGACAUAUUAGGAGGCACAGAAGAUGAAAGAGGUUUCAAGUUGAAAUGUCAUGUAGGGAAAAGGGUGGGAGGUGACAACAGAAGAAAGAAUCCGAUGUGUAUUGAAUGCCUAUCACGUACCAGUCACUGGGCUGGAACCAUCCAAACUGAUGACAGUGCAGACGUUUCUGAUGCAGAGAAAGCAGCCUGGCUUCAGCACAUGACCAGCAUUCUCAUUUCCCACCAGCGAAUGGAUCUUGGCUCCGCAGCUACAUUCUGAUCAGGAUGAAUGACAUGUAUAAUUCAAAAAUCAAGAAAACUGCUCAAGUACAACGGGUGAGGCUUCUGCCAAAGUUGAAAAUUAUUAGGAACUGUGAUUUUGGCUGAGCACACAGCUCUGUUUUGAACUCUUUUAUUUCUGUGUUACUGCUCAUUCACUUAAAGAGAAACAUGAGUCAGAGACAAGAUCUCUUUCCCUUUUCAUGUUUCACCAAUUUAUCUUCCUUGGCAUAAUAAAUUUCGCAAGCCAAAGAGUUGAGAGUGUUGUCUCGUUCUCCUCUGUUUUUCCCAUUAUCUCAGUUAUCUCUCAUUUAUUUUUUAGUCUUUGCGCUUAUCGUACAAUUCUCGGGCCAUCAUAAAGUUGGAAUGAGUAACCUCCCACCCUUUGUGAUUGCUUGCGAGUGUUUCAGACCCCAUCCUCUCAAUCACGUGGCUCUGGUGCUUCAGCAUAUUUGAGAAAACCCAGAAAUAUAAGCUACACCUCAACCAGAGCUGACUGCACUACUGCAGGGGACUUUUGACAUAUAAAAAUCUCUCUGUGCAUGAGGUGUUCUAUGCUAAGCAAAUGUUAAGUAAAAUCUGCAUAUGUACUGUUGCUUCUCUGGGCAACAGGAAGACUCCAACCAAUCACAGUCUCAGUUUGAUGCACUGUAAACAGCACUGGACAAGAAGUCUUAGGUCUCGAACUUUAUUUUUUAAAGGCCAAUUUUAGAAAUGUAUUUCAGGCAAGAAUCUCAAGAAAUUCGUAUUUAUAAUUACAGAUUAUAGUAUCGUGAGCCUUCAGGUAUCCAUGAAUCAAUACCCAUCUAACCUUGUAUCUGUGGUGUCCAUCCAUAUCCUCUCCUCUCCCCCCAAGGAGAUAGCUUUUGGUAUAACCACUGACAUCAGGUAAUUUCUGCCUAACAUACUCACAGGUAUUUCUAAGAGAGAAGGGCUUCGGUACUUAAAAAAUAUAAUCACACGGCAUUAUCAUGUCUAAAAUACUUGAACUUCCUGACCUUAAAUAUUCAGCCAGUGUUCACAUUUCCCUGUUCAUCCCAUAACAUAUUUUUAAACAUUAUUAGAGAUUUUAGUCUUUGUGAAAAUAUUUAAAACCCAGAAAGUAUACAAGAUAGAGUGAUAUACAUGAAUACACCACCCUAACAUUUUUUAAUGCUUGCCUCAGAUUUCUCUCUCUCUCUCUCUCUCUAAGAUUUUACUUCCUAAGGCAGCUUCAGGUUCACAGCGAAAUCAUGAGGAGCAGAUAUUUUGUAUAUGCUCGUGCCCUCAAGAACAGCCUCUCCCGUUAUCAGUGUAGCCCACCAAAGUGGUAUACUUGUUACAGUUGAUGAGCAUACACCGAAACAUUGUCAUCUAAUAUCCUUGGUUUACAUUAGGAAUCACUUUUAGUGUUGUCCAUUCUGUGGCUUUGGACACAUGUAUGACAUGCAUCAGUCAUUACGCUAUUAUAUUUACUCCUCUAAAAAUCCUUUGUGCUCUGACUAUUCAUCUCUUCUUUUCCCUUUGCCCUUGGCAACCACUUAACUUCUGACUAUCUAGUUUUGGUUUUCCCAGAAUGGGAUAUUGUUGGAAUCAGACAAUGUGCAAUCUUCUGAAACUAGUUUCUUUCACUUGGCAGUCUGCAUUUACAUCUCCUCCACAUCUUUUCAUGGUUUGACAUUUCACUUCUCAGUACUGCUAAAUAACAUCCUUUGUCAGAAUGUACCACAAUAUAUUUAUCCACUCCCCUACUGAAGGACAUCUUGGUUUCUUCUUGGUUUGGGUAAUUAUGAGUAAAAUUGCUAUAAGCAUCCAUGGACAGGUUUCCAUGUAGACUUAGUAUUUAAGUUAUUUUGAUCACUACCAAGAAAUGCUAAUUCUUCACUGUAUGGUAAGAGUCAUGUUUCCUGUCCUAAGAAACCAUCAAACUGUCUUCCAUAGCGGCUGUAAUAUUUUUUAUUGCCACCAACAGUGAAUAAGAGCUCCUACUGCUCCACAUCUUCACUGGCAUUUAGUGUGGUCAGUGCUCUGAAUUUUGGUGAUUCUAAUAGUUAUGUAGUGAUAUCUUUGUGUUUUAAUUUACAUUUCCCUGAUAACAUAAGAUAGGAAACUGAUGAAGAUUUUUUAACUUGAUUUUUACAAAAUAGGACCCAAACAUAGCCAAAAUACCAAAUCUCA
ensembl:lincRNA